AGAGUUUGAUCCUGGCUCAGGAUGAACGCUAGCUACAGGCUUAACACAUGCAAGUCGAGGGGAAACGACAUCGAAAGCUUGCUUUUGAUGGGCGUCGACCGGCGCACGGGUGAGUAACGCGUAUCCAACCUGCCCAUCACUUGGGGAUAACCUUGCGAAAGUAAGACUAAUACCCAAUGACGUCUCUAGAAGACAUCUGAAAGAGAUUAAAGAUUUAUCGGUGAUGGAUGGGGAUGCGUCUGAUUAGCUUGUUGGCGGGGUAACGGCCACCAAGGCGACGAUCAGUAGGGGUUCUGAGAGGAAGGUCCCCCACAUUGGAACUGAGACACGGUCCCAAAACGUCCCUAACGGGGAGGCA
rnacentral:rRNA from 1 species